rnacentral:tRNA from 1 species
GAGGGAAUAGCUCAGUGUAAGAGCACAUGCUUAGCAUGCAAGAGGUCCUGGGUUCAAUCCCCAGUACCUCCU